rnacentral:lncRNA from 10 species
GGCAUCGGUUCUCCUCACUCUCCAGCCUGUUGGCUCAUCCUGUGGAUUUUGGACUUGCCAGUUCCAACAUGGUUCAAGCCAAUUCCUUAUCACAAAUCUCUGUCUGUAUAUCAGCACAUCCUGUGGGUUCAGCUUCUCUUGAGAACACUGACCAAUCCAAUCACCGUUACUCCCGAUGACUUGUAGGUGAAGCCCCUUAAGGAAAAUUUCUUUCACAAAUGAGAGCUAGGGAAAGAUUUACUCUUCCUGAGCAGCUAAAGUAUUUUCUCCAAUGGCCACGAGAACCUUAAACCUUUCCUUCUUUCCACGCUCCCAUUGGCCGCCAGGAACUUGCAGCUUGGCUACAGCAAUCAUGAAGGACCUGACUGGGCUCAGCACAUGUGCCCAGGCCACCCAGGUAGAGGUGGAGGGCAUGGGAUUCAAGCCCAGGCCAUCGUUGGCUCUGAACAUAUACCUGAAACAACCUCCCUACCAGG